GUAGUUGUGGCUGAGUGGUUAAGGUGAUGGAUUGGAAAUCCAUUGGAGUCUCCCUGUGCAGGUUUGAAUCCUGCCAAUUAUG